UGUGCCAGCAGCCGCGGUAAUUCCAGCUCCAAUAGCGUAUAUUAAAGUUGUUGCAGUUAAAAAGCUCGUAGUUGAACCUUGGGUCUGGCUGGCCGGUCCGCCUCACCGCGAGUACUGGUCCGGCUGGACCUUUCCUUCUGGGGAACCUCAUGGCCUUCACUGGCUGUGGGGGGAACCAGGACUUUUACUGUGAAAAAAUUAGAGUGUUCAAAGCAGGCCUUUGCUCGAAUACAUUAGCAUGGAAUAAUAGAAUAGGACGUGCGGUUCUAUUUUGUUGGUUUCUAGGACCGCCGUAAUGAUUAAUAGGGAUAGUCGGGGGCGUCAGUAUUCAGCUGUCAGAGGUGAAAUUCUUGGAUUUGCUGAAGACUAACUACUGCGAAAGCAUUCGCCAAGGAUGUUUUCAUUAAUCAGGGAACGAAAGUUAGGGGAUCGAAGACGAUCAGAUACCGUCGUAGUCUUAACCAUAAACUAUGCCGACUAGGGAUCGGACGGGAUUCUAUUAUGACCCGUUCGGCACCUUACGAGAAAUCAAAGUUUUUGGGUUCUGGGGGGAGUAUGGUCGCAAGGCUGAAACUUAAAGAAAUUGACGGAAGGGCACCACAAGGCGUGGAGCCUGCGGCUUAAUUUGACUCAACACGGGGAAACUCACCAGGUCCAGACAAAAUAAGGAUUGACAGAUUGAGAGCUCUUUCUUGAUCUUUUGGAUGGUGGUGCAUGGCCGUUCUUAGUUGGUGGAGUGAUUUGUCUGCUUAAUUGCGAUAACGAACGAGACCUCGGCCCUUAAAUAGCCCGGUCCGCAUUUGCGGGCCGCUGG
rnacentral:rRNA from 1 species